UACGGGGGGGGCAAGCGUUGUUCGGAAUUACUGGGCGUAAAGCGCGCGUAGGCGGUUACUCAAGUCGGAUGUGAAAGCCCUCGGCUUAACUGAGGAAGUGCACCCGAAACUGAGUAGCUAGAGUACUAAAGAGGGUCGCGGAAUUCCCGGUGUAGAGGUGAAAUUCGUAGAUAUCGGGAGGAACACCGGUGGCGAAGGCGGCGACCUGGGUAGAUACUGACGCUGAGGCGCGAAAGCGUGGGGAGCAAACAGG
rnacentral:rRNA from 1 species